rnacentral:rRNA from 1 species
GCAACUCGCCUGUAUGAAGUCGGAAUUGCUAGUAAUCGCGGAUCAGCAUGCCGCGGUGAAUACGUUCCCGGGCCUUGUACACACCGCCCGUCACACCAUGGAAGUCUGCAAUGCCCGAAGCCGGUGGCCUAACCACUUAUGUGGAAGGAGCCGUCUAAGGCAGGGCAGAUGACUGGGGUGAAGUCGUAACAAGGUACC